AUUUUGGUGCAAAGAAUAUUUGAUGUAAUGGAAAAUACUCAACACAUGUUAUUGAAUGAAAAUUUUUCAAAGGGCCAGCUGCAUGCGGCAGAUUAUUACCUAGUCAAUGUGGAACACGGCCAACCGCUGGGGAGGCAUCGGACAUUAUGCCAUCAUGUCAAGCAGUCACCAAGACCAGCCCUUUCCCCUGGAGCCCGUUAACAAUUAGAAUGUUGUGGAUUG